UUUUUUUUUCCUUAUCUUUUGCAAAACGUCAUUUUUUUUUUCUUUUCUUCUUCUUCUUCAACCCAUUCCUCCAACAUUAUCAGAUCCUUCUUGACCAGCAUUUCCUGCUUCACUAUUUUUUUAGAGGAUUCCUGCUUCACUAUUAAAAACGUUUUAUUUUUUCCCUUUCUUCCUCUUCAACCCAUUUUUUUCCGUUUCUCCUUCUUUAAUCCGAUCUCGCCAUGUUUGGACUCGGAUCUGCGUUUUCUCUCACCGAGUCUCUUGUAGAUCUGCGUUUUCUUCAUUUCUGGGUUUCAAUCGGAUUUGAAUUUGGGGAUUAGGGCUGUGGUGAGGUCGCCGGCGGGUGGUGGUGACGGUGGCGAUGAGGGAGUAAGAACCAGGGUGAUAAUGAAUUUGGGAUGAACUUGGUGAUGAUGACGCUUGACUAUUUGAUUUGUUUACUGAUAUCAUAUGAGUUUGCUGAUAUCAUUUGAUUUAAGAAGAUUAAAUAUUGUUUGGAUGAACUAUACUGAUUUUACUGAUUUGUUGUGGAUACCAUGACUAUUGUUUUGGACUCUGACGACGUUGUUAUGACUACCGCAGAUCUGAGUUUUUACAUAAUGGUGUUCAAGCUGCUGUUAAUGUGUAUAAGGUGGAGGAGAUUUUAUUUCACUUCCUUUUGAUGAAGAUGGAUUUUGGGAAUUUUCUUUUUCACGCGCUGCUGUUAGUGUUUCCAAAACAAUUUGUUGAAUCUUCUUUAAUUGUAACUUCCACAGCAAAUUAGCAUAUAAGCAUUUUUAUAGAAUUGUUUGGUAAAAACGUUUGGUAACAAAAAAACUAGCUUAUAGCUCCUUGGAUUAGCUUAUAAGUUUGUUGGAUGAAAACGUGAUGUGUUUGGUAACAAACUUUUCUCAUGAGCUUAUAGUGUUUUUUUAA
rnacentral:lncRNA from 1 species